rnacentral:rRNA from 1 species
UACAGAGGGUGCGAGCGUUAAUCGGAAUUACUGGGCGUAAAGCGUGCGUAGACGGCUAUCUAAGUCGGGUGUGAAAGCCCCGGGCUCAACCUGGGAAUUGCAUUCGAGACUGAAUAGCUAGGGUGCGGUAGGAGGGAAGCGGAAUUUCCGGUGUAGCGGUGAAAUGCGUAGAUAUCGGAAGGAACAUCAGUGGCGAAAGCGGACUUCCU